GCCACCUCGCGUCCCGCUAUCCCCGCGCACGCCGCCUCCGGCCCUGAGUCCCGGCCGCACCCGGCGCCGCUCACCUGCUUCUGGAUGUCCCGCACGCGCUGCUCGUGCAGGCGCGGAGCGCUGCUGAGCUUGAACACCACCCAGGCGCGCACGUAGUAGUAGAUAUCGAAGAUAAGCGAGAGCGGCAGGAGGAAGAGGCACACGAACACCCAGCGCUGGUGGAUGAGCACGAACUCCAGCCCCUUCAGGCGCACCCACAGCAGGAAGAGCAGCGCGCACACGGCCAGCGACACGGCGGGCUCCAUGGUGCGGCGCCGCGCGGGGGCACUUUCCACGAAUUCAUUUGAGCUACACAGCAGUCCUGGGCAGUGGGGAGUGGUGAGCUCCAUUGUGUACACUUGGAAGCAGCCCAGAAAGGUGAAGACCUGUUCGUGAACUCCAGAGGCCAUUGGAAGCAUGGAAGGCUAUGGCUGGCACUCUUCCUCUUUUUCCAGUUCACUGAGGCAGAUGGGAGGCCCGGAGGAGAAAGAAUGAAGGAAGGCAUUUCAGCCCGAGUAAACUCCCCAGGCCCGCUCUGUGCCAGGCAGUGUUGCAAGCCUCGGGUAGGGUGGUGAGCAAAGCAGAUGGCCCUGCCC
rnacentral:lncRNA from 1 species